GCGAGGAAUCUUGCGCAAUGGGCGAAAGCCUGACGCAGCAACGCCGCGUGGGGGAUGAAGGCUUUCGGGUUGUAAACCCCUUUUGCCGGGGACGAAUAAUGACGGUACCCGGCGAAUAAGCCUCGGCUAACUACGUGCCAGCAGCCGCGGUAAUACGUAGGAGGCGAGCGUUGUCCGGAUUUACUGGGCGUAAAGAGCGCGCGGGCGGCUUGUUAAGUCUCUUGUGAAAUCUCCCAGCUCAACUGGGAGGGUGCUGGGGAAACUGGCAGGCUUGAGGGCAGCAGAGGGAAGUGGAAUUCCCGGUGGAGCGGUGAAAUGCGUAGAUAUCGGGAGGAACACCAGUGGCGAAAGCGGCUUCCUGGGCUGUUCCUAACGCUGAGGCGCGAAAGCGUGGGGAGCAAACCGGAUUAGAUACCCUAGUAGUCC
rnacentral:rRNA from 1 species